UUCAUGGCCAAAGUAGUGAAAGGCACCAAAUGGCAAUGUGUGACUGCUGUCUUAAUGAAACACAGGGUUGUCUUCAUCGGAAACACAGAGAUGUAUCGCAGCCCAGCUGCAUCCAGGUGCGAUGAGCGGAGCCUGAGGCCCUGGGUCAUUGACCCACUUUUGGUCUGUUUGAACUGCUCCUUUCUCUCCUCCUCUUUCUCCAUCCAGCAGGUGUGGCCCAUCACGCUGUGCCAGAGGUGACAGCAGCUUGAGGAAAGGUGGAGUGAGGAUAUCCUGGUGCCAACCUGAGCAGCAAAACGAGAAGUGACAGUGAAAACACUCAUUGCUUCACCAGAGCACGUAUAAAACUAAUGCUCUCUGUUAUCAUAGGUGUGUCUCUAAAGCAAGGCAGCUUCCAGCUGGAGGAGCCCGUACCCAUAAAAGUUACGUUCUUCACUGUCAUAAACUGUUGAGCUUGAUGUAGCCAUCGUUAGGGUUCAUUUCCUAGCCGGGGUUAUGCAAAGAGGCAGCCAGGACAACCACAGCAUUUGGUCCUGCAAUUACAGUGUCUGGUAUGGAGUGGUUGUCUCAAGUGCCUGGGAUUUUUCUUUUUAUUUAUUUGUAUUUCUAUUUUUCUUUAGGCAUCUCUCCAAUACUUUAUCAGACCACAGUGGCACUACUUUUAGUACAAGAAAACCAGGUCUCAUUUAACUUCGACUGAAGCAUAAAAUUAAUAAAUAAAGAACGUUAACAGUAAAGGUCAUGAAGGUGAAGGCAGAUUGUUGAGGUCUAGUGUUCAGAGGAGUCUGACAUACCUACUUUAACUAUAUUUCAAAAUUAAAAUGUAGAGAGCCUAAAAAUACAUUCCUAAAAGCUUUUUCUUAUUCCUAGGCCAGCUUCAGAGAGGCAGGAAUUUAACUCAGCAGCAGCAAAAUGGACUGCCACGUUUCUGAACUGUACUGGGAGCUCCCUUGUUCUGAGGCCAAAGCUGGUCUCAGAAAUGCAGACCCAGCAGGGUUAAGCCUUUCCAAGUCCAGUAUUUCUCAGAAAUGAACUAAAGUCCUGGUGAGUGGUCAGCACUCCUAAGCAAUGAGAGGCUGAGCAGUCAGACCAGGUGCUGCCUCUCUUUGCCACAUCCCUACAUUUAUAAAAUCUGCAGAAGCCAGUAUUUCUGAUUCUGCUGCAGCAUUAGAUAAUGCUCAGUGGCUGCUGUUGCUGCUCUCCCAUAAUUACCAGAAACAUUGCUUUAAGAAGUUACAACUUCCUGGAAUAAUGUGAAAAAUGAACCGUUUAAAGCACCAAUGAGUAAUAGGUAAUUGCAGGCUGGAGAAUCUUUAAUCACUUUCAACCUUAAGUACAUUUUUGAAGAGUGCAACUCAUUAUUACCUUGCAGAUCUUGAUGGAGUUGUACAUUUCUGGUAGCUGAGAUUACAAAUUAAAUAAGAAUUUUGUAUACAGGUGGUACUGGUUGGCAAUUACGGCACAGCCUGGUCCCCAGGCACAGAGGCUUAACUCCCUGCUCUGCUGCAGGCUUUUGUUUGACCAUGGAAAGGUUAUGGAGACGUUUGUGUGCGGAGAGUGUAGUGCUGCGGUGCCUACCAUUUCAGGUCCCCUAAAACCUGGGUCCUGUGAGAUCUGAUCCCUAAGGCAUAUAAAUGUAUAAUGAGAAAAAGAGUGACCCAUGAGACAUUGUGUGUAGACUAAGAAUUAUGGAUGGUAGCCAGCAGAAAAGGUUGCACAUCAGCUUCAUUGCUGCCCAGAGAAAGUGCUGAACAACUUCUGGGACCUCCAGCCAAGAGCUCGCUGAGUCCUGUUGUUGAUUUAGCUCUGCAUUUCCUGUGGUACAAUUUUUGAUCUAUAAAAUGAAGAUAAUAAGUAUCUUCUUAUGUAUGCAAGUAAGUACAUUGAUACAAGGAGCUCAGCUCUAGCUUUCAAGUGGUGUAUAUGUAGACAUUUAAUAGAAAAAGGGUGAAAUGGACAUUUUGAUAUCCACACAGCAUGUUUUGCAGAGCUUGGGCAUGCUCUGUCCCUGUGCAAUAUGGAAUCUAGGAGUAACCAGGACUGGAGUGACUGAGUUUCCUUUACAGAAGGCUCCCAGACCCCCCGAGUGAUGCCCUUCCCACCCUUUUUCUCAGUGCCUGCCCCUCUCUUCUCCCAUCUACUGGCUGCUCUUUCUCCCCCAGCAUGAAUAUCAGCCAGCAUGUUCUCAGCUAAGGCAAUAUUUCAGCCUGAAACUUUGAAAGUGAAGAAACCACACCACUUGGCUGUAGUGAAGAGGAGAGAUGAAGCCAUGCUCCGGCCGCAGGCAGAUGCCCUCAACCUUCAUUGCAUAUUCCUGAGAGCAAAGGGAGUCCUCUUCCCCCUCCUCUUGUGGCAGUGAAAGCCCGAAUGGGAAGGACCGAUCCUCUGCUUGUAGCAGUGCACGGGGAGGUGUGAUGCCACAGGUCCUCAGCAAUGAAGAGAUAUUGCAGUGCAGCGUUUCUCUGGAUUACUCUGCCACAUAUGUCGAGUCGGAACACCGAGGAUAUAAAUCUGCCAUAAACCUUUGGCCUUAUUUCAGCCAGUUUAUGCAUUAUCUGAAGUCCGUGUAGCAGCAAAUUGCACUGGAAGCUAUUCUUCUGGAUUUCCUAUUUGUGCAAUACAAGGUGAUGUGAAUUUGAAUUCACAGCAAUGAUCUCAUCAGGUUUGCUAUAGGUAAUUAUAUGCAGACAUACAAGAUCUUCCUCUAGAACAUGUCUAUGGAUGGUCUGCAAACAAAAUUGAAGUUUACCUCCCACAGGUAAGUUGUUUGUUUGUUUGUUUGUUUUAAAUAUGGCCCUAUGCAUAUGGGCUCCACAUUUUGCAUACUUAAUUUGGCUAUUAAAAUCAAUCAUGUCUUGAGUUCCUCCAGACAAAAACCACCUCUCUAAAUUGACCCAUACUGCGAUAUUAAGUUGCAAUGUUGAAUCUCCUAGCUAGCCAACUGUGCUGUUUAAUUAGGGUGCCUUUCCAAAUCACCUUCAAUAGCAUCAUUGUAACAUAUGGGUUGAGAUUUAGCCAUACGGUCCAAACACAGAAACAAAGCACAUCGCUAAUUGUCUGAACACACAGAGAGGCACAGCACAGGCGCUCAGAUAGGCAGAGAUAGAAUGACAUGUCCUGUUUUGUAGGAACAGCAUAUUUAUUUAUUUUUAAUAUAAUUUAUGCAUUUAUAAUAAACAGCAGUGUUUUAUUGCUGGAGAGAGAUGUUCAGAGUUUAAAAUCCACUUGCAUUGCUCACUAGUCUAGUUGACUUAGGCUGUCCUUGGAAAUGCAGGGCUGCCUUUGAACUAAUCGCCAAAGCACUGUAGGAAGGACGUACAUGCAGCAAAGGUUUUACUUUGGGUGGGCCUUUUCCAAAGGUUGUAGUUUCCUUCUACUUGGAGUUUCAGCUGAAUGAGUGCGGCCAAGUUGCAAAUAAUCAUUGCCUUUUCCUGUAUUCAUGGCGGACCAAAUCCUACAACCCUCUGCAAAGCACAGUCUGCACUUACUUGUAAACACACCUUGAAAGUGGAUGGUUUAUUCAACAAGGGAAUAAUAAGCCUCAAGCAGAACAUUUCCUUUCCUUCUUUAUGCACAGGCAACCAUUUAUUUUCUUCCAAUAUGUAAGAUGAAGAGACUGCAGUCCAGUCAGUCACUUUGAUAGGAUAACAGAGCGAACAGGUAGUGAUGUCAAAAAAGAGAAGCUGUUACUUAAAUUAAAUUAAUGACAGUUUUAUAAAGAAUAUGGAACUGUAUGAACCACUGAGGUACAUAGAUCAAAAAAUACAUUAAUCUGAGUAGGUACCAGUCUAGUUUCAGGGGUGAUUUGUGUGUCAUACACGAUCAGCUUGAGAUUAAGAAAAUAUGUAUUACUUUUAUGUGGGUCAUGGUUAUCAAAGAAGUCUGAGAGUGUUUCAGGGAGACUGUGUGUCAGUAAAUGCCUACAAAAAUCUUUUCCUGAUUUAUUAAUUUGAAAUAGUGUCCAGAGGUAUUAGUCAAGGUCAAGGGCCAUUUCUUAUUAAGUAUUUCUAGACCUCCCUGGUAAAGAUGUUAAAAACAAAUCUUAAUAUUAUUUACUUCUUACUAUAGCAACAUAAACUGAUCUUCCCCAGCCAGCAAGAGCUAAUUAGAGUUUUAAUAUUGAAAAGUUAAUCUUAUCUCAGAGUUGUUCAUCAGACUCCUCCACUUUAAACUUGUAUUGAAAAGAGACACGAAGCACUUGCCAUACCUUUCAAAGCCAGAACCUGAGUAAAAAUCUGGGAUUGUACUUGAGUCAGUCACUUUGGAAGUCUCUGUGUAUUCACCAAGGAUUUUUCCCUGUUUUAACAUUGGUGUCUUUAUCUGGACUAAGCCAAAGACAGUAAAAAUGUCCCAAUUUCAAAUUCUCCAAAUAACUCCUUCUCUUUGUUUUCCCAUUGCUAUUAAACACAGACAGCAGUAGAAUAGGGGCAACGAAAGCAAUCCAAGCUGGAAAGUUUGGCCUUUCAAGGAAGAUUAAAUUUUGUUUACCUGCAAGGCUGCCAACUGUCCCACAUUCAAAGGGCUGUGGGAACCACUGAGUCUUUGUGGCUAGAAAUCUCAAAUCCCCCUUUACCAAAGAAAUAGAGGGCAUCACAUACAGGCCUCACUUGCAUGGGAAGUUUGCUCAAGCCUUCAGUCUCCUGGGACCGGCAAGGAAAGGAGUUUGCAUGUGGCCCUGAGAAACAGAAAGCAGGAAUGGAGACUCCAGGGACCAAGGAUCCCCGCCUGUCCAGGAAAAUCUCCAUGCCAGCAGUAUGGAACUUGAAGGUGGGAUACACUGGAUAUAUUUGGCGGGUUAAUUACUUGUGAUUCACCCCCAGUUUCUUUCAAAACUUCAACUUUAAAGACUGUCUUGUUUUAUCAAGAUAGUAUUCUGUGACAGCUUUUUUAGUAUUCUCGGGGGUACAAACAGCACACAGUGGCCGAUCUUUCUUCAGAAACAGUAAGGGAAGUAAGUGGUAUAUACUUAUAACCUAAAAAUAAUGCUUAUUGCUUUUGCAUCUUAAUUUAGCACUGGUUAGCUGAUAUUUUUCACAUAUGUAUUUAGAACACAAGGAACAGCUCUGGCCGCCUGAGUAGAUUUUGUCACUGAGUUUCAGGAAAUGAAACAACUUUAUUAACCUCAGAAAAAGAGGACAACUGAAUGCAAGGAAUGCUGCAAAAAAAAUGAAAUUGUGAUUUUAAAAUUCAGUGAUGUAGAAAAUGACAAUGAGACUCAAACAUACAUGAGAUGUUAAAGAGCCCAGAUUGCCCGUUGGUAGCUGCAUACAUGAAAAGUCAACACAGAAAUCAAAUAUAAAAAUACCAAUGUGUUCUGGAUUAGUGGAAACAAGUCACCCUUUGAGAAGAGGAGGCAGCAUUUCUUCACGCUUUCAACAGCUGCCCACUUGCAGAGCAUCACGUACUUUGCGGUAUUUCAAAAAAACAUUGGCGUGAGGUCUUUUGUGUAAGUAGUAACAGAUCUCAGGUUUCUCAGCAGUACUUCCAGCUGUGAAACUUAAUUUUUUUCCUCCUUUAAAUUCACCUGAAAUGGCAUUGUCCUUGCUUAUAGCCAGUCCUUUCCAUCCAAUACUAAUAGAAUUGGCUGCAAGAAGGAGCAAGGCUGAAAAAAGAAUUGAGAGGACGGUGUCCCAGGGCAUACUGCACUGCCUGUCAGCUGUUCUCUUACCUUCAAAGAGGCAAAGUCAGGAGUAAAUGUUUUAUAGCACUGGAAAAGUUACCAAAGAAACAGUAUGGAGGCUAUACCAUCAUUACAGAUCCCCUGUUGGACCUAGCCUUUGAAGAAAGGAUGGCGGGACUGAACAGAGGCUGUGGAAAUCCUGAGUUGGUUCCCAAGGCCAGCAAAGGCUCUGUGAUUCACAGGGAAAAAUCUCAGCCUCUCUCUAUUCAGUUGCCUAUGCAUAAAACCCAUAAAACUCUUUGAAGUAGAAGAGACCUCCCAUUAUUUUUGUUUUGGUUUGGUUUUCUUAAGGGAGAUUGCCCCUUGGCUGAGCCCUGUUGUGAAAUAGUUUGCUUCAGAGCAGUGCACAGACCCCGGUGCUUGUGUUGCCUUGUUCUUAGGACAUUUUGAACAUUUUACUUUUCUUCAAAGGAUGUUUUUUUCUUUGAGAUUAAGCCAUUUGUUUAAGAGUAUUUCAUAUUCUCUUCUUUCUGCUUGGAAAAGCUCUCAAUAAGAGUCAUGGUAUAAAUACGGUUUGUAAAUGAAACAUAGGCCUGGAUCAAUACCCUUCUCCUUGCCGCAGGGUAGCAUAAUAACUGGAAGAUGUUCUCAUAAUUGUUAUGAGGACCGGGGAUUCUUUCAUUUAUGCUAGUGAAAUGUGUUGUUAAGUCAUCUGAUCAUAUGAGUUGAGUCUGAGGUUUCUGUACUUGUGGCAAAAUGGCAAUAUUCCUAAAGCAUCUUACAGUCAGCAGUUUCAGAGGACAGGUUAUUUGCAAAAUAGCCUCCACAUUAUAAUCCACUGACACAUAAAUCUGCUGCUCCCUAACUUCCAGCUCUGGCCCUUCCAAAUCCAAAAUUAAAUGGCUUCUACCCCAAGAGCUGAAUUGUCACCUAAACUGCAGUGCUUGAGAGAUUUGCUGUUACUGAGGAAAUUGGUCUCCUAUAUAUUUCCAUUGGAUAAUUUCCCAAGGACCUAUCUUCAGUGCAUGUUAAUACAGUAUAUUGCAACGUUGUAGCUUUUGGGUAGUCUAAUAGACAUGUAAUCUUAUUUUAGCAGAAACCCGGAUGCUCACAGACUUACUUGUCCAGCGCAGUAAUUUGCCCUACAAAUAGGCUCCCUGAAAUCAAUAGGAAACCUUGUGUAGGUAUUGUUUAGUAUAUGAAAGUAUAUUCACACCUCAUUAGCUUAUACAUAUGACUUCAGCAGAGUUACUUCUUGACUUCUAUUAUGGCAAAGCUCAUGCCCUUUUCUAGUGAGCAAUGUAUUUUUUCUUUGUGUAAUAGAAAAAAUGCGAAAAUUGCAUUUGAGCACGGUGACUUUCCAACACAUUUCAGGCGUUCUUAACCCAUGUUCAUGAAAUCCCACCUGGUCAGAGGAUCUUACUCACAAUUACUUAUUUCUAUAGUUAUUCAUCCUUAAGGUGAACUCCUUGCUACAUAUGGCACCACUUCUGCUCCCCCAUAGUGAGCUGUUGGCCAAUUUUUGUCUUAGACCAUUUCAGAUAGGAGAGGAAAAAAAAUGGUAAAUUAUGUCUAUUUCUUAGUGUAACCAUGUUCAUUUCUUAGAUUGUGCUACCCAUCUCGCACUUCCCUGAGAACACUGGAAAAAAGCAGCAGACACCAUUUCCCCUAGUUGUCCUCUCACCAGCUUCCUUUUGAUCUUCCAUAAUUGCUUUUUUCGCCCUGAAACUUCUACAGAUUUAUGGAUAUGGGGUACACUUUGCUGCUGAACAAAUCGAAGUAGGCAUCUCUGAAAGACAUGACUGCAACUUGUCCCUGGCUUUUAUUUGCAGUACAGGAUGAAAACUGGGGCAGUGACAAGUAUUUACCUCAGCAGGUGGAGUGAAGAUCACCCUCUGCUCUGUUGUUUCCCUUACACUCAUCACAGGAGCCGCUAACAUGAGUGGCUUUUCUUUAGCAUUGCUAUUGUGCUGUGCAACGCAGUUGUCAUGUUCAAAUGUUAUCACAAGUACCAUUCUUGCCAUACCUGGACUUUCCACUCAUAUCAAAGAGGCUUUUCAACACACACCUGUGAACAAUCUCAAAUGGGACCUUUCCCUGACCUGUGACAAGCAAGCUCACAUCUUAACUAUCACAUGCUGGCACUUGCAAUUGCCGGGGGUGCGAUGCUUUAGGAUCACCUUGGCCUAUCAAGAAGGCCAGUGCCCAGCAGUUUCACUCUGAUGAGCAAGGCCAGGGACCCUGUAUAGUAGUCUGACUAUUUGUAGAUGCACUGCAUGGUCUCAAGCUCGUGUAUGCUCAGCUCUCACCCGGAUAAAGUAGCCUGUGAUGAAUUCCACAGCAACAGGCAGUAAAGAGAAGCAGUGUGAAUGGGGUUUGGACAACCAGAUCAAAUAACUCUAGAGAGCACUUGAAGCAGCCUGUCAAGAAAAUGUGGCCGUGCAUGAGUUUCAGAAGGCUCACUGGCCUCUCUAUUGCUCCUUGUAGUAAACUAUUCUCUCCUGCAACAAGCGCUCUGCUGGCAAAAGAUGUCAAAGCAGGUCAGGUGCCAAAAUCAACCCCCACUCCCUUUAUUCAGUUUGCCAAAUACAGCUAUAAUAAUGAACUGCAUUCAUUUAGUACAGGUCUCUCUUACCUUGUGUUUGAUUUUAUGUAAUAGAUGUACUACAGAUAAAAUAGGUGCAAAUAGUACUUCAUUGUAAUCCAAUGGUAUGGAGAACUUAAAAUAAUACACACUAAUAAUGAAAGCAGUUUUAGACAUGUACAGAUUCAAACCCACUUAAGGAAACUAGCUAUAAAUCUCUUUUAUUUGCAUUGGUAUGGUAUAUUUUACCCUUAUUUAUUAGGUAAGGCUCACACUUGUUUGAACUGCCUCUCUUCUAUUUAUUGUGACUUAGUUCCUUUGCCAUAGCCUUAGAGUCUAUCUUUAUAGAAAGAACUAUUGGACUGUGUCCCAUUCAGGAAAAGCAAAACACAUUAGGAUUUUUGCAGCCUCAGUCAGUUGAAACAACAGUAACUCUCCUACCCAGGCAUGUAUUACCACCUAACACUCACAAAUGUAAAUGGAGGAGUUUUACCACAUACUGUAUAGCAAAUUAUACUGAGAUUUUUUUUUUUUUCAGCCAAAAUACCUGCGAUGGAGAAACAGAAAUAAAAAUUUCAAGGAAGAUAUAAAGAAGCAGCAAAGCUUAGGACACAACCUGAACAAAUAGUGGCAUUGUGGGCUUGCUGAAAGCCAAAACAUAGAGCUUUUUUCACUGAGUGCUGGCGCAGGGAGGCUUGGGGUGGUAUAUAAAAGUACUUUCUCCUAUGACUUGAUUUCUGUGGUAACAAUUAGGAUUUUAUGUUAUUUUCAGAUAAAUAGAACUACAUCAAAGACA